CGUUAAGUCGACCGCCUGGGGAGUACGGCCGCAAGGUUAAAACUCAAAUGAAUUGACGGGGGCCCGCACAAGCGGUGGAGCAUGUGGUUUAAUUCGAUGCAACGCGAAGAACCUUACCUGGUCUUGACAUCCACAGAACCUUGUAGAGAUACGAGGGUGCCUUCGGGAACUGUGAGACAGGUGCUGCAUGGCUGUCGUCAGCUCGUGUUGUGAAAUGUUGGGUUAAGUCCCGCAACGAGCGCAACCCUUAUCCUUUGUUGCCAGCGGUCCGGCCGGGAACUCAAAGGAGACUGCCAGUGAUAAACUGGAGGAAGGUGGGGAUGACGUCAAGUCAUCAUGGCCCUUACGACCAGGGCUACACACGUGCUACAAUGGCGCAUACAAAGAGAAGCGACCUCGCGAGAGCAAGCGGACCUCAUAAAGUGCGUCGUAGUCCGGAUUGGAGUCUGCAACUCGACUCCAUGAAGUCGGAAUCGCUAGUAAUCGUGGAUCAGAAUGCCACGGUGAAUACGUUCCCGGGCCUUGUACACACCGCCCGUCACACCAUGGGAGUGGGUUGCAAAAGAAGUAGGUAGCUUAACCUUCGGGAGGGCGCUUACCACUUUGUGAUUCAUGACUGGGGUGAAGUCGUAACAAGGUAACCGUAGGGGAACCUGCGGUUGGAUCAC
rnacentral:rRNA from 1 species